ACCCAUGCUGACUAAUCUUGAUACUUACCCUACCAAAGUAUCCGCCUGAGAACUACGAGCACAAACGCUUAAAACUCUAAGGACUUGGCGGUGCCCCAAACCCACCUAGAGGAGCCUGUUCUAUAAUCGAUAAUCCACGCUACACCCAACCAUUCCUUGCCUACGCAGCCUACAUACCGCCGUCGCCAGCCCACCCUUCCUGAAGGCUUAACAGUGGGCUUAAUAGUCUCACCCGCUAAAAAGACAGGUCAAGGUAUAGCCCACGGAAUGGAAGAAAUGGGCUACAUUUUCUAAAAUAGAAAACCACACGGAAGGGGGCAUGAAACAAGCCCCCAGAAGGCGGAUUUAGCAGUAAAAUGGGACAAUAAAGCCCAAUUUAAGCCGGCCCUGAGGCACGUACACACCGCCCGUCACCUCCUUU
rnacentral:rRNA from 1 species